rnacentral:rRNA from 1 species
GACGAACCGUGCGAACGUUGUUCGGAAUCACUGGGCUUAAAGGGCGCGUAGGCGGCUUGUCAAGUCAGGGGUGAAAUCUUUCGGCUUAACCGGAAAAGUGCCUUUGAUACUGACGAGCUCGAGGAAGGUAGGGGCAGAUGGAACUGUUGGUGGAGCGGUGAAAUGUGUUGAUAUCAACAGGAACGCCGGUGGCGAAAGCGAUCUGCUGGACCUUUUCUGACGCUGAGGCGCGAAAGCCAGGGGAGCAAACGGG